AAUUUUUUAUAAAUAAAACACUGGAACUGUCUGAAGACAUCAACUUCUCUUUCUUGACUGUGGUAAGUAUAUUCAUGAUCUUACUUAAUAACAAAUCUAUGUGUGGCCAAAUAAAAAUAAUUGAUGUUGAACCUGUUUCUCUCUAAACAAGUUAGUAAAAUUGAGUAAUUGUGCAUUUUUCAUGGACAUAAAAAGAACAACAGUGAAGCCACCAGAGUACCACCGUUCUCCACAUCAUCAUGGGAGUCAUGACUGUGUCUGUUCUCUGCAUCCUCACCUUCCUGGUGACUGGUAAGUGACAGCCAAACUGGUUUCAGACAAGAAGAAAAAUAGAAAUGUUUCUCCAUAAUUUAAUUCCAGAUUAAUUCUGAUAUGUUAAAUCAUUUUUUUUAUUGUGGAAAUGAUGACUGUCUUCUUCCCAGGGGGUUCUGCAAUUCCAGGCCAGAAUUAUUGUAAAUAUGGGUUUUCUCGACCAACCUCUUCCUGGCAGAUUUGCUACCUUGCGGUCUCAGAGUUAAAAUCUUGGGCUAGCGCACAGGAGCUAUGUCGUCAAAAAGGUGGAAAACUAGCUUCUAUUGAGAACAACGAUCAGUUAAAAUAUGCUUAUGACAUGAUACCAAGCGGAUAUUUCUGGGUUGACGGAGACCAUGAGUCCAGAUUUAUCCAGGAGAACUGGAUGAAGGGUGAUCAGCCAGAUGGGAUACACACCAACUGUUUGGUAUUGGGUAAAUACCCUGCGGUAAAAGGCUUUAGGCAAGCUAGUUGUUCAGAAAAAGACAACACUGCCAAAGUUCUCUGCCAGGCGGAUGUUAUCUACUGAAGAGUCCACUCGGAGAAUGCAAAGGGAUCUUGUUUUUGUUCUAUCGCACGCACACUUUUACUUUAAGAAAAAAUACCAAAAGAAAAUACAUUUGAUAUAUGCAAUGGCUACCUACAUAAUUUUUUCAGUUGUGACUGUUUUACUUUUCACAAUGGAAGUCCCUGUAAAAUAUAAUGCAUUACUUUAUUUUUUUAAAUUUUUUUAAAUAUUUUAAUAUUUCUACACUAUGAAGUACACACUGAAAUUGUGAACAUUAUAAUAAUUCCCAGUUUGAGUAAAAGCAGUUUGACUAAGAUGCAUGGAAUGUUGGGGAUUUAUUAGCCAUAUAGUGAUGAUUUAAAAAAAUACUAUUACAAAGAAUGCAUGUUUGCUUUUUAGACAUAUUUGGAAUAUAUAAUUAGUAAGUUUUAAAUAAUGUCUUGUUCAUUCAUCAUUGCUUUCUUGCCUCUUUUUCAAUAAAGACUUUCUGAAAUUAUUAAACUCUUGGAUUUUUCCCAAAUUUUUUUUUGUCACAAAGCAAAGCUGGUAUAGUCUUAUUCAAAUAGAAUAAUGGCUGUAAUUGCGGCCAUUGAUGUUUACCAAAUAUUGACUAAAGGGGGU
rnacentral:lncRNA from 1 species